AUGCUGACACUGGGGAAGCUCUUUAAAUUUGUCUGUGGGGGGGAGAGUGCUGCUCCUGGCUCCCAGCUGGCUACCUGGGAUAACAUGUCCUGUCCUAGGCCUAUAACUCAGGGAACACAUACAGACGCAACUGAGGUCCAAAGAAAAGAAGAUGGUACUGGAAGUCUUCCUGUGUCAGAGUUGCUGCAUUUGAGACUACAUCAUCUGGAGAGAUAUUCCCAGAACCAUGCCAAUGGCACUUGGUGCAAAGGAAGUGGGGGGUGCAGGACCCUUUCACACUGAAUCCCUGGAGGUGGAGUCUGGCCCCACCUCUAGCAACGGCUGCCACCAGGCCUGGUGAGUUGCUGGAUAGGGUGGUGGAACAGCAAGUGGUGGGAACAUGUCAAGGGGAU
rnacentral:lncRNA from 1 species